rnacentral:lncRNA from 1 species
AGCAGCAUAAGUCUCAUAAUGGACUCUAUCUGAAAUGCCUUAACUCAAUAGGAUUUUCGGAUCAAAGAAGUCGGAUCCUAUUAGAUGUGGUUCGAUCCAUAAUGGCUUCACUGACUUUUUCAUUAUUUAUUUAGGGGACAUGUUUUGCUUACCACUAAUUAUAUAGUAAAUUGAGUUUCCUCUAAAUUCGUUCUUACUACACCGUAUAAGAUAUGACAUGAUAAGAAACUAAGUCUUGAUCAUCUCAAAAUUUGGAGAUGUUCAACUCGUGUCAAGCGACAGUAGGCAAAUAAGAUAGAGGCUAGGUUUAUGAGAGCUCGUUUCAUAAGGUACCCAAAAGAGUUUUUUGGAUACUAAUUUUGCCUUCUAAAGGAUCACAAUGUGAUUGUGACCUAACACACUAUCUUUCUGAAAAAUAGUUAUCCAUGAUGAAAAUAGUGAGAGGCAAUUAUGACUCGAAGAGAAAGUCGUCUAAAAGCAACAACGAGUCAUAGAGCCUAUAGAACCUAUUGAGCCAAUAAAUGGUGUACCUCAUCCAUCUCGUAGAUCUAGUUGAAUUUUCUAUCUUUCUAAAAGGUACAAAGGUAUACUUAUAAAGGAUGUAGAAAAAAUGUUCCUCACAAGAGAUGGAAAAUAUGGAGAUGAUCCCUAAAACUAUUAUGAGAUGGUGUCAUCGUUUUCAUGAUGCGAUCAAAUCUUUUGAUUUCAUCAAGAAUGAGGAGGAACCAGGAGUCUUUAAGA